rnacentral:lncRNA from 1 species
UGUUAAGAAUACAGAGUUUUACUGCAUUUUUUAAGAAAAGAAAUACAGUUAAAAAGCUCAGUCUAUAAAAAAAAAAAAUAUUGUUAAGUAUUAGCCGUUAUAAGCAUGUACAGUAAGUAAAUUAAAAAAAUAUUUGUUCAGAAUACAUAUUUAAUUAAUAACAUUAUUUACAUUAUUUAUUUACUCUGCAAAAUCUCCAUAUUAUUUCUGUAGUUAAGACGGGGCAAAAUAUAACAAAGAAACAGGGCUGUGGAACCGCACUCAAUCCCUAAGGUGAUGUGAAUGUGGGUGCAACCAGGCCGGUCCCAGUGCCAAGAACCAAUUACUUGAUAGAACGAAAAAUAGAAAGAGGUCCAGGCACUCCAGGAUUCAAAGAAGGCAAUUUAUUAAACCCACCGCCAAUCACAAUGUUUCGACCUGUACGGUCUUCAUCAAGCUUUGUCAAGUGACAAACCAAAAUUUGAUAUAUCUUUAUCAGAAGAGCAAUAGACAAUACACCACGCAUAAUAUUGUAUGUAAAAGGAACAUACUAGUUGUAAAAAUACAAUUUGUUUUUUUUUUGUUUGAAGUGUUCUUUUGGUACUUUAGAUUACUAUUUGUAAUAAAAAAUAUUUUAAAAAAACAUUAAACUUUCCUGUAGUCCAGAGCCGGUUCAAAAUCCCCACUGCAUCCUAAUUGUCCUCCAGUAAAAUCAUCUAUCCUGAUUACUUUUGUUAUAGGCCAUGAUAUACCAAUCCCAUGCUUCCCUAUGAGAAGCAUUGAAUCCACUGAUUUCUUAUAGAAAAGCACUGGUUGCACACAGCAUCUGGCAUCAGCAUCCUUUUUCUGCCGACUUCAAACAUCAAAUAGAUUCAAUAAUUGAAUCCAUUUCUGCCAGAAGCUUCGAGUAGCCAGCAGUAGGUUGUGCAUUGCAACGUAUUCAGUGUCGUUUCGUAGAAUGUUUUCAUUUGCAAGGAUGCAGGGGCAGCAUCUAUGCCCCUAAAUCAUUUCAUAAGAGUGAAGUAAUGUGGUGCUUGAAAUGCCCCUUUAAAUCUCUUUUUCUUAAAGGACCACUAUAGGCACCCAGACCACUUCAGCUCAAUGAAGUGGUCUGGGUGCCAGGUCCCCCUAGUUUUAACCCUUCAGCUGAAAACAUAGCAGUUCCAGAGAAAGAGGCACUUCCGCGAUUCUCAGUGUGGAAAUCGCAUUGAACUCAUGCAUCGUGAGUUCAGACCCCCAUAGGAAAGCAUUGAGUAAUGCUAUCCUAUGGGCGGUUUGAAUGCGCGUGUGGCUCUUGCCGCGCUUGCACAUUCGGCUCCACUCAAGUGCUGACGUCGGCAGGGGGAGGAGAGGUCACAAGCGCCGAGGGAGCCCGGCGCUGGAUUAAGGUAAAUGGCUGAACGUGUUUUAACCCCUUCAGCCAGCGGGAGGGGGACCCUGAGGGAGGGCAGCGAGGGGGCUAGUAACCUUGUAGUGCCAGGAAAACUGGUUUGUUUUCUUGGCACUAUAGUGCUCCUUUAAAGGCAAUUUUUUGGAACCUGAAAAGUAUCAAGGAGUAGGAAAGUCAUCCCCAAACCCACUAAAAUAAAUAAUUUGCCAAUUUAUUGAUAAAGACUUAAUUAACUCAAUUCAACUCUAAGUUCCUGUUUUCUGUGUAUCAUUUAUUGUAAUGUUUUUGUAAAUUUUGAAAAUUUUAAAUGUAAAAGUAUUUACAGCUCUUUUUUAAAUUCUGGCCUUAAUAACAUCUAAUGUUUACAUCUAUAAGAGUAAUAAUUAUCUUUAUAGUAAAAUACAAUUUGUACAUUACUUGAAGUUCUCUAAUAGAAGACUCUCUUGUUGACAAACUUGAAGUUCUUUGUUAGGCUUGAUGGAUAAAAGGAAAAGAAGCACAAUUUGAAUUUAGAUAUUCACUUGAAGGAAAAUUCACUGUAAAAUAUUCACUAUACAUCGCCGGGAACUGUUGGGGUGCUUAGGAUAUCUGCCCACAGGUAUUUUUUUAAAUAGUAAUUUCAACAAAAUGUACUUAAAAUUCAGUAGUCAUCAAAUCAGGUUGAGAAAGUUGUGACACAAAAAUAUUCAGAUACAUAACAGAAUCCUUAAAGCAAAUGUUGUAAUACAAGAAAAAUGGGGGGAAAGGCACAAAUCAAAAUGUAUUUAUUUUAACCAUUUUAUGUUGCUUGUUUUUUUCUCUACACCUAUAUUUAUGAGUCGCGUGUAAUGAGGUGCAAUAGUAGAAAGAUGCAAAAAGCAAUCUCAUUCAACAUUAACACUCUCAUUGUUUGAUUGCAUGCUGUUUAUUAACAAUGCACUCAUUAUCCCCUACCCUUGUAGAUUUCUUUUGCAUUUUAAUUACAAUUAGAUGGAGGAUUAGGUUCUUUUUUUUCCUGCUUUCAACAAUAUGGCACAGGACACAGGUUCAAAUCCAACCAUUUGGAGCAGGGCAAAAAAACAAGACACUCGAAUAUACGCUGUAUCAACUUCUAGAACCUAGAACCUGCAUCCGUUAGUGUACUGUCAGUGAACGGGAAAAGUGAAAAGAAUAAUCAAAACUGCUGAUUGAUAUUGCCGGGGUGAUUUGUUGGGUUGGCAAAUAGGCAACUCCAAUGGUCUUAAACCAUCAUCCGUUGAAUGUAUAGCUUCUGUCACAGCACACAACCGUCUUUAGCUAAAAUAACUCCAUACUACAUAAAAAUAAAAAUAUAUGAGCAUUAGAAAUUAAAACAAUUACCGGUAGUAUACAUAUAAAACGGCUAAUGCAAUCAAACACAUACAGGAUUAUUUACUAAACUUGAAUAUUAGCUAAUUAAAUCAAAAUUUUAAAAUUGAGCCUGAAAUAGCCAGAUUGUGACUAUAACCUAGUAGACAAUUCUUUUUUUAAAAAGCUAUUUUUGCCUAAGUUUUUACAUUUACUUUUAAGUUAUUUCUCUUACUUUUGGAGUUUAGUAAAUAACCCUGAUAGUGUUGAUGUAAGAGCUGUCCGUGAUACUUAAAUAACACAUUGUCAAUUCUAUCAUUCUUUCUAAUCCAAGAAGGAAGCCAACAUCCGCAUGUAAAGUACACACAUACAUAAAACCUAGUACUUAAAUGGCUUUUCAUUUACCCCACAAUUUCACUUAGUCAUGCUGAUCACACGGUGGUAACAUCUUAAUGUUUAUUGAAUGUAAAAACCUGGAACUUUUGUUUUAACAAAAGAAAAAAAAACUCUGAUUACUAAUUUAUUUGCUUCCUUUUUACAUCUCAUAAUUCUUCCUAAUUUAGUCUAAUGGAUGCUGAGUAACAGUAUCUUUCUUCUUUUUUUUUUUUUUUAAGAGUACUUUAAAGAGUACUUUGGUUAUGAGUUGUGGACAUUGGUUGCGUCUUGUGAUGUGAAUACACUGCCAACAUUAUAACGAAGAUGAAUGCCAUGUUUGGAGUCUAAUGAGGGAACAUCAAAAUGAAUGUUUAUGUCUAAUAAAUGUAUGUAUGUAAGAGCAACUGCUACUUUAAUAGUUUUCUAAUCUGAGUGAUUUUGUGCAUAUCUAACAAGAGAAAAAAAAACUUUUAUAUUUAUUUCUAUAGAACAAUGUUCAUUUGUAAUGUCACAAAUCCUGUAGGCUAGAACAAAUUCAUCACUUUGUUUUAACUUUGAUUGUACUAAAUGUUAAAAUUGCUGAUGUUUGCUUUAUGGAAAUCAAUAUUCAAGCUGUAACUUUGAUACAGACAAAUAUUUGAACACAUCGCUUUAAUAAAUUGAAU